rnacentral:misc_RNA from 1 species
AAGAUGCCGGCCGGGAAGGCA